GGAGGCAGCAGUGAGGAAUAUUGGACAAUGGAGGCAACUCUGAUCCAGCCAUGCCGCGUGCAGGAAGACUGCCCUAUGGGUUGUAAACUGCUUUUAUACAGGAAGAAACACUCUCACGUGUGAGAGCUUGACGGUACUGUAAGAAUAAGGAUCGGCUAACUCCGUGCCAGCAGCCGCGGUAAUACGGAGGAUCCAAGCGUUAUCCGGAAUCAUUGGGUUUAAAGGGUCCGUAGGUGGAUAAUUAAGUCAGAGGUGAAAUCCUGCAGCUCAACUGUAGAAUUGCCUUUGAUACUGGUUGUCUUGAGUUAUUAUGAAGUAGUUAGAAUAUGUAGUGUAGCGGUGAAAUGCAUAGAUAUUACAUAGAAUACCAAUUGCGAAGGCAGAUUACUAAUAAUAUACUGACACUGAUGGACGAAAGCGUGGGGAGCGAACAGGAUUAGAUACCCUGGUAGUCCACGCCGUAAACGAUGGUCACUAGCUGUUCGAACUUCGGUUUGAGUGGCUAAGCGAAAGUGAUAAGUGACCCACCUGGGGAGUACGUUCGCAAGAAUGAAACUCAAAGGAAUUGACGGGGGCCCGCACAAGCGGUGGAGCAUGUGGUUUAAUUCGAUGAUACGCGAGGAACCUUACCAGGGCUUAAAUGUAAAUUGACAGGUUUAGAAAUAGACUUUUCUUCGGACAAUUUACAAGGUGCUGCAUGGUUGUCGUCAGCUCGUGCCGUGAGGUGUCAGGUUAAGUCCUAUAACGAGCGCAACCCCUGUUGUUAGUUGCCAGCGAGUCAUGUCGGGAACUCUAACAAGACUGCCAGUGCAAACUGUGAGGAAGGUGGGGAUGACGUCAAAU
rnacentral:rRNA from 1 species